UACGUAGGGACCAAGCGUUGUUCGGAUUUACUGGGCGUAAAGGGCGCGUAGGCGGCGCGGUAAGUCACUUGUGAAAUCUCUGAGCUUAACUCAGAACGGCCAAGUGAUACUGCAGUGCUAGAGUGUGGAAGGGCAAUCGGAAUUCUUGGUGUAGCGGUGAAAUGCGUAGAUAUCAAGAGGAACACCUGAGGUGAAGACGGGUUGCUGGCCAACACUGACGCUGAGGCGCGAAGCCAGGGGAGCAAACGGG
rnacentral:rRNA from 1 species